GUGGGGAAUUUUGGACAAUGGGCGCAAGCCUGAUCCAGCCAUUCCGCGUGCAGGAUGAAGGCCUUCGGGUUGUAAACUGCUUUUGUACGGAACGAAAAGCCUCUGGUUAAUACCCGGGGGUCAUGACGGUACCGUAAGAAUAAGCACCGGCUAACUACGUGCCAGCAGCCGCGGUAAUACGUAGGGUGCGAGCGUUAAUCGGAAUUACUGGGCGUAAAGCGUGCGCAGGCGGUGAUGUAAGACAGUUGUGAAAUCCCCGGGCUCAACCUGGGAACUGCAUCUGUGACUGCAUUGCUGGAGUGCGGCAGAGGGGGAUGGAAUUCCGCGUGUAGCAGUGAAAUGCGUAGAUAUGCGGAGGAACACCGAUGGCGAAGGCAAUCCCCUGGGCCUGCACUGACGCUCAUGCACGAAAGCGUGGGGAGCGAACAGGAUUAGAAACCCCUGUAGUCC
rnacentral:rRNA from 1 species